AUUGAACGCUGGCGGCAUGCUUUACACAUGCAAGUCGGACGAGUGGCGAACGGGUGAGUAACAUAUCGGACCGUACCGCGUAAUGGGGGAUAACUAAUCGAAAGAUUAUCUAAUACCGCAUACUAUUCGAGCGGCCGAUAUCUGGUUAGCUGGUUGGUGGGGUAAAGGCCUACCAAGGCGACGAUCCGUAGCUGGUCUGAGAGGAUGACCAGCCAAACUGGGACUGAGACACGGCCCAGACUCCUACGGGAGGAAGCAGUGGGGAAUUUUGGACAAUGGGGGCAAGCCUGAUCCAGCCAUUCCGCGUGUCUGAAGAAGGCCUUCGGGUUGUAAAGGACUUUUGUCAGGGAAGCGGUACCUGAAGAAUAAGCACCGGCUAACUACGUGCCAGCAGCCGCGGUAAUUC
rnacentral:rRNA from 1 species